rnacentral:rRNA from 1 species
UACGAAGGGGGCUAGCGUUGCUCGGAAUUACUGGGCGUAAAGCGCACGUAGGCGGCCAUGAUAGUCAGAUGUGAAAGGCCUGGGCUUAACCCGGGAACUGCAUUUGAUACUGCAUGGCUAGAGUCCAAGAGAGGGUAGUGGAAUUCCCAGUGUAGAGGUGAAAUUCGUAGAUAUUGGGAAGAACACCAGUGGCGAAGGCGGUUGCCUGGAGCUUUGCUGACGCUGAUGCGCGAAAGCGUGGGGAGCGAUCCGG